rnacentral:lncRNA from 1 species
AUAGCAUGAAAGCAAAGGGAGGAAGGCUUGAACUUUAAACACUGGGCCGGAAACCCCACCACACAGUCCUGAGUCCCGUCACAGUGCACGUUGUCCGGCCAGUAGCCCCGCAGACCUUGACCUUGAUGUCCCCGCGCUCAGGAUGGUGUGGAAGGGCCCGGCCUGCUGUUCGUCCGUCGCUUUGAGGCUUGCAGUCAAGGAUGCCACCUGUCCUUGGUGAUGGGAACCAUCCACCCAUCCACGCUCCGCACCCAGCGCUGACUGCCACGGCGUGCACCGUCACCCAGGCCCCCAGACUGAGAAUGAAAUGGAGUUUAUCACCACACCUUGUGGACAGGUUUGCACUUGCUUAUUUUUCUGUGCUGUUUUUCGCCAUUUAUCCAACGGUAAGGUCACGUCGGAAGAUAAUAUGAUUAGGUUGUUUGUAGAGCUGCAUCUCUACCAGAGGGAAUGUUUUUAAUGCUAUUAAAAUAAAAAUGCCAUUCUCAAUUAGGACGUGAUUCUGCCUUAAAAAAGAAGAAUAUUCUGACACCUGCUACCACAUGGAUGAACCUUGAGGACAUUAUGCAAGAGAAAUAAGCCAGACACCAAAAGACAAAUUCUGUCUGAUUCCACUUAUAUGUGGGCCCUAGAGGAGUCGAAUUCAUAGAGACAGAAAGUAGGAUGGUGGGCGCCAGGGGCCGGGAAGGCGGAUGGAGAGUGAGUGUUUAAUGGGGGCAGAGUUUCAGUUUUACAAGAUGCAAAGAGCUCUGGAGAUGGAUGGUGGUGAUGGCUGUGUGACAUUAUGAAUGUGUUUAAUACCACUGAG